AGCCUAAUACAUGCAAGUCGAGCGAACAGAGAAGUGAGCUUGCUCUUAUGAAGUUAGCGGCGGACGGGUGAGUAACACGUGGGUAACCCGCCCAUAAGACUGGGAUAACUCCGGGAAACCGGGGCUAAUACCGGAUAACAUUUUGAACCGCAUGGUUCGAAAUUGAAAGGCGGCUUCGGCUGUCACUUAUGGAUGGACCCGCGUCGCAUUAGCUAGUUGGUGAGGUAACGGCUCACCAAGGCAACGAUGCGUAGCCGACCUGAGAGGGUGAUCGUGCCACACUGGGACUGAGACACGGCCCAGACUCCUACGGGAGUGCAGCAGUAGGGAAUCUUCCUGCAAUUGGACGAAAGUCUGACGGAGCAACGCCGCGUGAGUGAUGAAGGCUUUCGGGUCGUAAAACUCUGUUGUUAGGGAAGAACAAGUGCUAGUUGAAUAAGCUGGCACCUUGACGGUACCUAACCAGAAAGCCACGGCUAAACUACGUGCCAGCAGCCGCGGUAAUACGUAGUUGGCAAGCGUUAUCCGGGAAUUAUUUGGGCGUAUAGCGCGCGCACGGGUGGGU
rnacentral:rRNA from 1 species